rnacentral:sRNA from 1 species
UUCAGCCACAGGCUCCCAGACAUGACAGCCAUCAUCAAAGAGAUCGUUAGCAGAAACAAAAGGAGAUAUCAAGAGGAUGGAUUCGACUUAGACUUGACCUGUUUUUACAUGUGAGCUGUGGCAUGACUGGCAUUUUCUUUGAUUUCAGCGUAUGUGGGUCUCUACACAUGAAAUUUAUGUGACUUAAAACUUUCUCUAAAACUGUACUUUUAGUUGUGAUAUGCAUAGAAAGCAGUAUCAAAUAUUGCAUCAAAUGACUAAUAACACUUAAUUUCUAGAGUUGUGGUUUUAUUGAGCCAAAAGUUGAUAUGAAAAAAAGUCAGUAAGGGAAGUCUGUGAAGUGCUUGCUUUUUUGAUAAUUGCACUCCCAAUAAUUUUGAUAUUCCAGCGUACUUGGUUUGCUUGUUUUCACGUUAGUGUUUUCUGUUUAUUGGGGUGGGAAGGCAUUAAAAUGGUCAUUGAAGACUUUGUCUUUGG